CAUCAGUGCAUGAAUAGACAAUAGAGGAUCAAGAAACAGACCUAUGUAUAUUUUGAAAUUUGGUAUACAAUAGGUGACAUUUCAAAUCAGAAUGGAGAAAUGAUGCUUCAGUAAGUGAUCUUGGAAGGACUGGCUAUCCACAUGGAAUGAAGCAGAUCCUUUCCUCAUACUGUGCACAAAAAUAAGUUUUUAUGUGUGAAGGAUCUAAACUUUUUUUUUAAGUUAUAGGGAAAAAAUUAGAAAAGAGUAGGCUUUUAAAGCAGGAUUAAAUAAUACAAAAGCAAAACUUAUAGCAAAAUAAUUAGUCUAUAUAAAGAUUUAAAUCUUUUGUACAAGUGACACCAUAACCAAAAUUAAGACAUGCUGUUGACAGCAACCCCUAAAUUGAGCAAAGAGGAAACAUAAUUUGCAGAAGAAACCAAAUCCUAAAGUACAGGAUAAAGUGCUCAAAAUCAUUAGUAAUCACAACAAAAUAAAACAGUAAUGACCUAUCACUUUGUACUAUUAGGCUGGCCAAUAAAAAGAAACAAAGAAAGCUGGAUGAUGCCGAGUGUGCAGACGCAUAGAGAUAUGCGACACAAUGAUGGAAGCUGCCUCUACCUGGCUCGCAUCUGAACAUCUUUGGCCAAUCCAAGCUUUCCAGAUUCCAAACAACGUCCUUACCAACCGUAGAUCUCACGAGCAACUUCCGACCUGCUGAGUUCUAGGAUCAAGAAGGAGGGCAGCUUGUGCCACAGUUGGGGUCUUCUCUGGACCCUUGGGAAUUUGACAGCCUCUGGGGUUAUCCAAUAAAUGAAUCAGAGUAUUCCUAACUUUGGUACUUGUUUCCUCCAAAUUCAAAUUCCAAAGAGACCCACAAUGUAUUAUUUUCAUUGUUGUUAUUUAAGUGGAGAGAUAUUUCAAGUGCAGCAGCUUGCCCAUCACCUGUGAAGAAACAUCCCUACCUGACCUUGAUCUACCCAGUGCCAGGAAAUAGCCAUAAGUUCCUUUGAGAAAUGGUUGCAGGAAUAUUUACUGUGUACAUUUGCGUGGAGUUACAGGAGUGUUACUAAAGGGGGACUGACCUUCCACUUCAUGUACUCUGAGUGUGUAAAUUUAGAGCUGAGCCCUGGGUGUGGGACCCUGAUUUUCCAUUAAGGUAGCAAACGGCUAAUUAUUUAUUUAUUUUGUUUGCUUGUUUAUGUAAAUAAAUUAUCACCCUAGAGAACUGUGGUAUCAGCCACAACCUGAGAUCCCUGCAGAUCAAACCAUCUUGAUUGCCACUCCAACUUUGCCUGUCCUUAGUCUGCUGAGAUGGCUUUAGGUAUUUGUGCUUAAGUAAAAGUCAUGAAUCAAAGGUGAGUGCCCGGGUCAAUAAAUGAUCUCUCUGCUCUUAAAUUCUACAUUCGCUUCUACACAGACUCCCCAGGCCCUAUUGUUAGGCAGCUCCUGUAAUACCUUUUGUUAUAUAGGCAUUUUUUUCUCACAGGAGGACUUUUUAUUUCUCUCCCCAGGCUGUGCUGGUACCUGACUCUUGGUAUCAACACAGAGACAAUGAGGAGUCGGGGGAAUGGAGGGGCAGGUAGGUCCUGAGAAGGACAAACAUCAUCAUUUAAGGCAUCCACUUCAGUUUCAUGCAAGCUAAUAAUACCUCAACACAGGUGCUCUCUCACUGCUUUCGUGAAGAUAUGAGGCUCAAACCACACAAGUCCCUGCCCAUGCUCUGGAACCUUCCUCCAGCCCCACUCCCAUAAAACUCCAAGCCAGUCUCCUUUCCUUGAUCUUCUAAGUCAUUUUUUGGGCCUGCUUGGCAGGCAUUCUGCUUUCCCCAGAAAGCCUCCUUAUGUGAAUAAGUGAGUAAGAAGGCUUUUCUUAAUUUGGGGUGCCUGGGUGGCUCAGUUGGUUCAGCAUCUGA